GCUUACGGCCAUACCACCUUAGGCACGCCCGAUCUCGUCUGAUAUCGGAAGCUAAGCAGGGUCGGGCUGGUUAGUACUUGGAUGGGUGACCGCCUGGGAAUACCAGGUGCUGUAAGCA
rnacentral:rRNA from 1 species